rnacentral:tRNA from 1 species
GGGCCAUUAGCUCAGUUUGGUUAGAGUAUUACGACAACAGCGUUCGACUGAUAAUCGAAAGGUCGAGAGUUCAAAUCUCCCAUGGCCCA